rnacentral:rRNA from 1 species
CAUAAUUCUAUGCAAAAACAUCCCUCUGGUCCUCAUGUUUUCUCUUCGGAUCCUUCUCAGAUCCCUAAUCCUCCAUCGGCCUUCUCGACCUCUCCAGCCGGCGAGCGACGCUGUCGGCGGUCCUGGCCAGAUCCGGUGUUGGCUCCCCUCCACAGCUUCUUCUCCCUACCUCCUGUCUUCCGCUCCGGCUUCAAGGUCGCGUGGAUCCGCCUCCCGGCCAGGCCCAACGUCGCGCGGCGCAUCAUCGCAGGGAUUCGUCGGCCGUCGCUAGUCGUCCUCGUCGAUGGCCGCGGCCGCCUCGCGCACAACUGCCUAGGUCACCGUCUGGCCUCCACCAUGCCGGACUCCGAUGGGUUCGCGACAGAUCCGAAGACCCGCGGCACAGAGUUGUUAGAGAAUACGCAGCCCAGACGGCUACACGCGCCAGCUCUUCUUCCUGACUCCAUCCCCUCACUGGCUCAGUAUCAAGGCAUAUGAAGUUCCAAGAGCAAGAAACAGUAUAACUGGCGGCAAGAGAAGAACAUUCUGUCAUAUACCAUCAGGAUAGCAAAGCUGACACAAUUUUUUAAAGCAAUGCUUGUUCAGUUGUGAUCCUUAAGUCCUUUGCACUCAUUCUUACUGGUCAUGCACUAGAAAUGAUCAUGUCAACUUAUGUAUCACUUCAUAUGUAUGUAUGUCUCUUGUGGAUGCGCCAGAUUGACAAAUAUGUGUGCUCAGGAAGGGUCUAGUUUGACGUGUACUCGAAUAUUUGUGCAACUGAUGGUCUAGCUUGACAUGUACUCAAAUAAUUCCAAUAUUUGUGCUUGGAAUUGUCCAGUCUAACAUGUGCCUGAAAUGGU